UGCCAGACUCCUACGGGAGGCAGCAGUGGGGAAUAUUGCACAAUGGGGGGAACCCUGAUGCAGCGACGCCGCGUGGGUGAAGGAGUACUUCGGUACGUAAAGCCCUAUCAGCAGGAAAGAAAAUGACGGUACCUGACUAAGAAGCCCCGGCUAACUACGUGCCAGCAGCCGCGGUAAUACGUAGGGGGCAAGCGUUAUCCGGAUUUACUGGGUGCAAAGGGAGCGUAGACGGACUUGCAAGUCUGAUGUGAAAAUCCGGGGCCCAACCCCGGAACUGCAUUGGAAACUGUAUAUCUAGAGUGUCGGAGAGGCAGGUGGAAUUCCUGGUGUAGCGGUGAAAUGCGUAGAUAUCAGGAGAAACACCAGUGGCGAAGGCGGCUUGCUGGACGAUGACUGACGUUGAGGCUCGAAAGCGUGGGGAGCAAACAGGAUUAGAUACCCUAGUAAGC
rnacentral:rRNA from 1 species